AAUAAGUGCAGUUUUAGCACUGUUCAUGUCCAACGUUUGACCGUUCGUCUUAUUUGAAAAAAGAUUAUAAUUAGUAUUUUUAUUGUUAUUAGAUGAUAAAACAUGAAUAGUACUUUAUGUGUGACUAAUUUUUUUAAUAUUUUUUAUAAAUUUUUUAAAUAAGACUGAUGGUCAAAACGCUGAGCACACAUAUCUGACUGCAUUUAUU
rfam:Oryza sativa Japonica Group DNA, chromosome 2, cultivar: Nipponbare, complete sequence.